GACGAACGCUGGCGGCGUGCUUAACACAUGCAAGUCGAGCGGUAAGGCCCUUUCGGGGUACGACGAGCGGCGAACGGGUAGGAGUAACAACGUGGGUGGACCUCGCCCUCCAGCUCUGGGAGUAAGCCUGGGAAACGUAGGGUCGUAAUACUGGAUAUGACUCCACGGUGCAUGUCGUGGGGUGGAAAGCCUUGUGCGGCUGAGGAUGGGCCCGCGGCCUAUCAGCUUGUUGGUGGGGUGAUGGCCUACCAAGGCGACGACGGGUAGCCGGCCUGAGAGGGCGACCGGCCACACUGGGACUGAGACACGGCCCAGACUCCUACGGGAGGCAGCAGUGGGGAAUCUUGCGCAAUGGGCGAAAGCCUGACGCAGCGACGCCGCGUGAGGGAUGAC
rnacentral:rRNA from 1 species